CUCCCGCGCCGCCCGCGCAUCGACGCCGGCGUCAGCCGCGUUGAAGAGGUCGUGGAGCCCCUCGACCCCACCCUCGCCCUCACCUGCGUCGACAACCCCGCCCGUCUCAAUGCGGUUGACUCCCCCAUCGUCCGGCUCGUCUCCGACGAGUACGGCGUCGGCGGGGACAAAGCGCCGUUCGUCUGCCUCGGCGGCUUCCGGAACACUCGCGGUGUGUAUGAGCUCGAGGAGGGCGAGGGGCAGGGGCUCGUGCUAGAGCUCGACGAGACACACUUCGAUUUCGGCACAAACUACGAGCUGGAGUGCGAGACCGCGGAGCCCGACCGGGCCUAGGAGGUCCUGGAGCGGCUGCUCACCAUGGCUGGGGUGCCGUAUGAGUACUCCUGGAGCAAUAAGUUCGCGUGCUUCAUGGCCGGGAAGCUGCUUCCGUGA
rnacentral:rRNA from 1 species